rnacentral:rRNA from 1 species
UACGUAGGGGGCGAGCGUUGUCCGGAGUACUGGGCGUAAAGCGCACGCAGGCGGUCUGUGAAGUUUGGAGUGACAGUUGGUGGCUCAACCACCAAAGUGCUUUGAAAACUGAUAGACUUGAGGGCUUCAGAGGGACACGGAAUUCCGGGUGGAGUGGUGAAAUGCGUAGAGAUCCGGGAGGAACACCAAAGGCGAAGGGCAGUGUCC